AUUGAACGCUGGCGGCAUGCCUUACACAUGCAAGUCGAACGGCAGCACGGGAGCAAUCCUGGUGGCGAGUGGCAAACGGGUGAGUAAUAUAUCGGAACGUGCCCAGUCGUGGGGAUAACGUAGCGAAAGCUACGCUAAUACCGCAUACGAUCUAUGGAUGAAAGCGGGGGAUCGCAAGACCUCGCGCGAUUGGAGCGGCCGAUAUCAGAUUAGGUAGUUGGUGAGGUAAAGGCUCACCAAGCCGACGAUCUGUAGCUGGUCUGAGAGGACGACCAGCCACACUGGGACUGAGACACGGCCCAGACUCCUACGGGAGGCAGCAGUGGGGAAUUUUUGGACAAUGGGCGCAAGCCUGAUCCAGCAAUGCCGCGUGCAGGAUGAAGGCC
rnacentral:rRNA from 1 species